UUGAUUACCUUGAAUAUUGUUUAAUAUUGAAAAUGUUCAAAUCUGCAGAUUUUAUGUUAUCAUUGACAAACCUAACCAAUAUUCCAAUAUGUGCUGAAUGGUUUUUGGAUUUGGUCAUGUUGAGAUGGUGAAAGAGAGCUGCUAUUUUGUUUAUUUUUGCAAUAUUGACAACCUGUUCAGUUUCAGUUUCCCGAUUUAAGGCAUGUCUGAGCUUGCCCUCCAUAUGUUUGAUGAAAAGCAGGAAUGACACAGUGGUUGUCGUUGCUGCGUUUCAUGGUCUGAGGUUUGAAAGACCCGGUCAGGGUUGAGAGCAGUAGAGCACGGGAUGAUAUCGAUAUUCGAAUUAAAACCUGUUGCAGUGCGAAAAGGAUCAUUCUUCUACGUUUUUUGCAUUUAUUCAUUGCCUGCCUAUACAGUAUUUUAUGUUACACUAUUGUCCAAAUAAUGACAAGUUUGUUUUUUUAUAGAACAUUAUGACUGCUACUUUUGCUUUAACUACUUAUUGAUACCUUUACAAGUAAAGUCAGAAACCUAGCUUAAAGUUGGUCAAGAUCAAAGUUAUCGACAAGAACAAAGUGUUGGUCAAGGCUUGCAUUGGAUCAAACAGUUGUAGUAUUGAUGCAUACACGACAAGGUAAUUUUGUUGCUAUAUUUCAGAAUUUCCUUUUUUACGUUUAUAGCCAAAUUAUGUAUGUUACACUCCAUAAUAUUUAACUAAGGGAAUUAUCCCUUAACUGUGGAUUCAACCUUACUUAGAUUCUCAUGCCAAUAUUCUUCCCAAGCUCUUUGGCUCCCUUGGGCUGUGCUUUGCCAUGUUUGGUUUGGACUCUUCAAAUCAUGUUCGAACUUUUCAAAUCACGUGUGUACUUACUUACUACUUAAUCAUUUGUGUCAAGAAUAUUGAUGAAUUAUGUUUUAUGAGUACAUACAUCUCUAAUCCCGAACUGUUUUGAUAUUUUCUAACUCGAUUUCAUGUUGGGAAAUGGUUUUGGUUUUGUGACUGUCAUGUAGCUUGCAUUGAGUAAAGGUGGUGACAGGGGCGAAACCCGUGCGCGACAUCUCGAGUGCAUAGUUGGACUGUAGUCAUUGCAUUGGUCUUGCAUUGUGCACUACAUUGUGAAUGGUGUUCUGACUUGUGCAUGGUAAUUUCGGCUUUAUCCGUGACUAUUUAUGUUUGUAUACAAGUAUCAGAACUGUUUGGAAAUUGCUUUAAAUGAGAUUUGUUUUACAUUAUUUUGGGCACUGAUUAAAUGUAUGCAUUUGUAGUAGCUAGCUAGAUUCAACAUGUGUGUGCCACUGUGGAGUAUGUUAACACUGUAAUGGUAAGACUCCUCAAAGCAGAUGUCAAAUAUCGAUUUGUGAUUAACAUUAGAAACACUUUGAAACCAAGUUCUUAAGUCGGAUUUGGUUUGUUUUCCCAAAGCACGCUAUCUCGAAAAACACGGGAACCACUAUCUAAGAAAUUCUGAGCUAAUUCCAAAUGAAGUUAAAAUACUACAAAGCACCAUAAGUUUACUUUUGUCCUAUCUUAAAUUCAGUCCUGGAAGAUGGUGACACUCCAGUGGAUCUUGAUGUUCAUAAUUUCAAUGCUCUCUUCUGAUAACUCAAUGAUUCCCUUUCACAAUUCAUAUGUUAUACAACAUGUAUACUUUCAAUGUCUAUUUCUCUUAAGUUUUUUUUAACAUUUGGUCAAUGUCUAUUUUAUUUGUUGAUUUGAAGAUGCAAAGGUGAAUGCAGAGAAAUGAGCUACCGAGUAUUUGUAUUUGAAAUUUGCAUUAUGUUUGAUGUAAAUGUUGCAUUUUGUCUUUGAUGACUUUGUCUAUGUUAAUCACUUGACAGAUUUAUAUGCAGAAUGUUGGUCUAUAAUUUGAAACACAGAAUGUUGGUGUGCUCGGUCCAAAUUCGUUGAAUGGUCUCAAUUAAGGGAUAAAGGACUUAACAUGGCAUACAUGGUUUCGUUUAGGUUGAUCUUAAAGGUGAAUCCAUUCACUUGAACUUCUUAUAUUGAUUGUGGCUUUAAGGACAUUUAGUUUCUUGAAAGCAGCCAUUUCACUUGGUACAAAGUAAGUAUCAUACUUCUUCUAUAGACACGGUAUGGUUGGGCUUGCACUGUUGGAUUUAGACAUAGUAAGCAUGGGAAAAGGUCAAGUUUGGUUAAACGAACAUCACCUCUACUGGCCUUCUUAUAAAGCAUUUGGUUUUUGUGAAGGGAAUGCCUCUCCUGUUAAAAAACAAAAUAUUAAGAAGAUGGCUAUAAUAUCUAUAUACCUUAGGUGACUUGAAGUGUAUAUAAGCAUACUAAAUGCUUCUAUGGGGUUGACAUGAUAAUUACUGCAUGUAUAAUAUAUAAGCAUAUACUAAAUGGUUAUAUUGUAUGGUUUAUGUAUAUAAGUAUACAAUUCAAGAAACUAUGAGGUAGGAUGUCAACUCAGUGUGGAGGAACUAGCAAUGGAAGUACAACAAAACUUUUGCUCAGAGGUUAUGAAAUUGAUAGCAGUGUGACCAUACUUCAUAUCUAAGAGAAACUUGAUAGAUUUCUAAUCGGGCAUGCGAUAUAAACUAUAAGCAUGUGAGACAUGCACAAAAACUUACUAUAAAAAGAGAGACCUGAUAGAUUUACAAAUUGUAACUUGAAUUUAAUGUAUAUAUUACUUAGGACAACAAUUUUAGUUGCUUGCAUUUACAAUGUUUAAAAUGUCGUGUAUGAAUGUGUUUCUAAUUAAUAUAUACAUUCUCAUUCACUAGCUCCAUGCUUCUCAGGUAGGAUAUCCGCCCCAAUUUCAUACAACAUGAAUAAGGAAAGUUAAGAACCAAUCAAAUAAAAUUAACUCCCAUGGUUAUAAUGUUUUACAUGUUAGAUUAUUAGGAUAAUUAUGUUUUGUUUAAAAACAUAGUAUCUUGAUGCUCA